GUCAAGAUGAAUGAACCACAUGUCGAGCAAAAGGGCAAAAGCUCGCUCGAUCUCGAUUUUCAGUACGAAUACGGACCGCGAAAGCGU
rnacentral:rRNA from 1 species